rnacentral:rRNA from 1 species
GAUGAACGCUGGCGGCGUGCCUAAUACAUGCAAGUCGAGCGGACGGACGCGAAGCUUGCUUCUCUGAUGUUAGCGGCGGACGGGUGAGUAACACGUGGAUAACCUACCUAUCAGACUGGUAUAACUUCGGGAAACCGGAGCUAAUACCGGAUGAUAUUUUGAACCGCAUGGUUCAAAAGUGAAAGACGGUCUUGCUGUCACUUAUAGCUGGAUCCGCGCUGCAUUAGCUAGUUGGUAAGGUAACGGCUUACCAAGGCAACGAUGCAUAGCCGACCUGAGAGGGGGAUAGCCCACACUGGAGCGGAGACACGGUCCAGAGUACUACGGGAGGCAGCAGUAGGGAAUCUUCCGCAAUGGGCGAAAGCCUGACGGAGCAACGCCGAGUGAGUGAUGAAGGUCUUCGGAUCGGAAAACUCUGUUAUUAGGGAAGAACAUAUGUGGAAGGAACUGUGCACAUCUUGACGGUAACUAAUAAGAAAGCAACGGCUAACUACGUG